UAACCCGGUCGCGGGGUGCCUAUACAUGCAGUCGAGCGACAUAUAAGGAGCUUGCUCCUUUGACGUUAGCGGCGGACGGGUGAGUAACACGUGGGCAACCUACCUUAUAGUUUGGGAUAACUCCGGGAAACCGGGGCUAAUACCGAAUAAUCUAUUUUACUUCAUGGUGAAAUACUGAAAGACGGUUUCGGCUGUCGCUAUAAGAUGGGCCCGCGGCGCAUUAGCUAGUUGGUGAGGUAACGGCUCACCAAGGCGACGAUGCGUAGCCGACCUGAGAGGGUGAUCGGCCACACUGGGACUGAGACACGGCCCAGACUCCUACGGGAGGCAGCAGUAGGGAAUCUUCCACAAUGGGCGAAAGCCUGAUGGAGCAACGCCGCGUGAGUGAAGAAGGUUUUCGGAUCGUAAAACUCUGUUGUAAGGGAAGAACAAGUACAGUAAUAACUGGCUGUACCUUGACGGUACCUUAUUAAAAAGCCACGGCUAACUACGUGCCAGCAGCCGCGGUAAUACGUAGGUGGCAAGCGUUGUCCGGAAUUAUUGGGCGUAAAGCGCGCGCAGGCGGUCCUUUAAGUCUGAUGUGAAAGCCCACGGCUCAACCGUGGAGGGUCAUUGGAAACUGGGGGACUUGAGUGCAUAAGAGGAAAGUGGAAUUCCAAGUGUAUCGGUGAAAUGCGUAGAGAUUUGGAGGAACACCAGUGGCGAAGGCGACUUUCUGGUCUGUAACUGACGCUGAGGCGCGAAAGCGUGGGGAGCAAACAGGAUUAGAUACCCUGGUAGUCCACGCCCGUAAACGAUGAGUGCUAAGUGUUAGGGGGUUUCCGCCCCUUAUUGCUGCAGCUAACGCAUUAAGCACUCCGCCUGGGGAGUACGGUCGCAAGACUGAAACCUCAAAGGAUAUUGAAGGGGGCCGGCACCAGCGGUGGAGCAUGUGGUUUAUUUCAAAGCAACGCGAUGACCUUACCCUGUCUUGACCUUCCCGUUGACCACUGUAGAGAUUUGGUUUUUCCUUUCGGGUACAACGGUGACUGGUGGUAGCUUGG
rnacentral:rRNA from 1 species